ACCCAGACUCCUACGGGAGGCAGCAGUGGGGGAUAUUGCACAAUGGGGGAAACCCUGAUGCAGCGACGCCGCGUGGGUGAAGGAGCACCUCGGUGCGUAAAGCCCUAUCGGCAGGGAAGAAACAGACGGUACCUGACUGAGAAGCCCCGGCUAACUACGUGCCAGCAGCCGCGGUAAUACGUAGGGGGCAAGCGUUAUCCGGAUUCACUGGGUGUAAAGGGAGCGUAGACGGCGACGCAAGUCUGGAGUGAAAGCCCGGGGCCCAACCCCGGGACUGCUCUGGAAACUGCGGCGCUGGAGUACGGGAGGGGCAGGCGGAAUUCCUGGUGUAGCGGUGAAAUGCGUAGAGAUCAGGAGGAACACCGGCGGCGAAAGCGGCUUACUGGACAGUAACUGACGUUGAGGCUCGAAAGCGUGGGGAGCAAACAGGAUUAGAUACCCGAGUA
rnacentral:rRNA from 1 species